UCCAGAAAAGUGUUGCUUCUUUGGUUACAAUCCAAGACUGAGGAAAUGCCGUGUUCAUCGGACUUCCUUCUCUUCCGGAAUGUUAGAGGAGCCCGGAUGGAGAUACUAUAGUAACACCAGCCCAGGCCAAAUAAAAAGACUUGGGUGUUUCGAAGACAACUGGAGGAGAUCAUUUGAACCAAAGAAAUUUUAUACACUUAACAAAAACGAACCCUCUGCGUGCACUAAUUACUGCCUGAAAAUUGAUCCAGAUUUCACAUACAUCGGACUUCAAUAUGGCUCUGAUUGUUUUUGUGGUCGUCAUAUAAGAUUUUGGAACAGACGUCCGGACAGCGAAUGUAACUAUCCCUGCCCCGGGAAUGGACAGGUGACAUGUGGCGGAGU